AUUGAACGCUGGCGGCAGGCCUAACACAUGCAAGUCGAGCGGAUGAAGGGAGCUUGCUCCUGGAUUCAGCGGCGGACGGGUGAGUAAUGCCUAGGAAUCUGCCUGGUAGUGGGGGAUAACGUCCGGAAACGGGCGCUAAUACCGCAUACGUCCUGAGGGAGAAAGGGGGGGAUCUUCGGACCUCACGCUAUCAGAUGAGCCUAGGUCGGAUUAGCUAGUUGGUGGGGUAAAGGCCUACCAAGGCGACGAUCCGUAGCUGGUCUGAGAGGAUGAUCAGCCACACUGAAACUGAGACACGGUCCAGACUCCUACGGGAGGAAGCAGUGGGGAAUAUUGGACAAGGGGCGAAAGCCGAAUCCGGCCAGGCCGCGUGGGUGAAGAAGGCCUUCGGGUUGUAAAGCCCUUUAGUUGGGAGGAAAGGGCAGCAGGUUAAUACCUCGCUGUUUUGACGUUACCAAAAGAAUAAGCACCGCCUACUUCGUG
rnacentral:rRNA from 1 species